rnacentral:misc_RNA from 1 species
GUCUUGGUUUCAAAAACAUUAAAUGUUCUUAAGAAAACAAUACUACAACAGAGACAUAAAAUCAUACAGAGGCCAAACCGAAAUGAGGCCUCCAGUUCACAGAAUCAGAAAAAAGAGGUCGGGUAGUAUACCUUCCUGAGCCCUACCCCCUUUUCCUUAUUUUAUAGUUAAUGAUCCUUCCGCAGGUUCACCUACGGAAA